CCCUGAGGAAGGAAUCAACACCGACAAAGGCUAUGCAGCCCCUUCACUCCGUCAUGCUGGGGAAGACUACCCCCCGGUCUUCUGCAUCCUCAUCGCAGCAAAGUUCGGGCACCCCCCAAAUUUUGGUGUGUAUGUCUUCUCGUCCGGCCGACCUACCGGCUAAGGCAUCCCCUCUAGUGGAAGCUCUAUUGGAUGCCGAGGCCUCGGACACCAGGAAGGCCAUCGGCGACUAUCGAAUUGCUCAAUCUCUGCUUAGGUCAGCCA
rnacentral:lncRNA from 1 species